CAAUACGAUUCGAAAUCGAGUUGCCAGGUGAAGAUGGAUUCCUCCCAUUCCUCAACACAAAAGUCAAGGUGAACGAAUCUGGAACAGUGGAGACGGGAUGGCAUACAAAAUCGGCAAACAAAGGAAUAAUGUUGAAUGCAAAAUCACACCACCCAGAACAAAUCAAACGGGCCGCCAUCGGUAACACCAUCAAGACAUAUACUUCCAUAUGUUCAACCGACGCCUUGUUUGAAGAAGCUGAACGGAAGUUUGAAAGAAGAGCGAGACGAAACGGCUAUAGCAACAACUAUAUAAAAAAAGUCCAGACAACAAAACGAAAACUGCCAAAAUCGAAAGUCGAACCUCUUCCCACAUUCACAAUUCCAUUCAUUUCCAGAAGCUUUACGACUGACAUCCGAAGAGCGGUCCAGAGUUCAAACCUCAAUGUCAGAAUAGUUGAAAGACCACAAAGCUCGCUUAAACAACUCCUCGUAGAAUCGCGACCUUACGAUAAAGUAUGCACAGACACCUCUAAAUGCC